rnacentral:rRNA from 1 species
GUGAACGCUGGCGGCGUGGAUUAGGCAUGCAAGUCGAGCGAUCUCGCAAGGGAUAGCGGGCAAAACGGGUGAGGGAAUACAUAGGUAAUCUUCCCCAAAAUUAGGCAUAGCCCUAUGAAAGUAGGGGUAAUACCUAAUAGUAUCAUUGGAAUGCAUGUUCCGAUGAUUAAAGACAGGGACCGUAAGGCCUGUCGUUUUGGGAUGAGCCUAUGUCUCAUCAGCUAGUUGGUGGGGUAACGGCCCCACCAAGGCUAAGACAAGUAGCUGGUCUGAGAGGAUGGUCAGCCACACUGGGACUGAGACACUGCCCAGACUCCUACGGGAGGCUGCAGUCGAGAAUACUUAGCAAUGGACGAAAGUCUGACUACGCGACGCCGCGUGAGGGAUGAAGGUUUUCGGAUCGUAAACCUCUUUUGGCAGGGAAGAAACCUUCCAUGGUAAUACUGUGGAAGCUGACGGUACCUGCAGAAUAAGCCACGGCUAACUCCGUGCCAGCAGCCGCGGGGUAAUACGGAGGUGGCAAGCGUUACUCGGAAUUAUUGGGUGUGUAAAGGGCAAGUAGGUGGCUUUGUAAGUGAGGGGUGAAAUACUCCGGCUCAAUCGGAGAACUGCCUUUCAGUACUGCAUUGCUUGAGGAUGGUAGGGGGAAAUGGAAUUCCCGGUGUAAGGGUGAAAUCUGUAGAUAUCGGGAAGAAACACCAGCGGCGAAGGCGAUUUCCUGGACCAUUCCUGACACUGAAUUGCGAAAAGCUAGGGGAGCAAACAGAAUUAGAUACUCUGGUAGUCCUAGCCGUAAACGAUGAGCACUAGGUGUUGGCUCCGUUAGGAGUCAGUGCCGCAGCUAACGCAUUAAGUGCUCCACCUGAGGACUACGGUCGCAAGGCUAAAACUCAAAGGAAUUGACGGGGGCCCGCACAAGCGGUGGAACAUGUGGUUCAAUUCGAUGCUACGCGAAGAACCUCACCAGGGCUUGACAUACAGGAAGUAGUGAACUGAAAGGGGAUCCACUCGUUAAGUCGAGAGCCUGUACAGGUGCUGCAUGGCUGUCGUCAGCUCGUGUCGUGAGAUGUUGGGUUAAGUCCCGCAACGAGCGCAACCAUUAUCCUUUGUUGCCACUUCUUUUGGAGCUUGCUCCAAGAGGAAGCACUCUAAGGAGACUGCCUGGGAUAACCAGGAGGAAGGUGGAGAUGACGUCAAGUCAGUACGGCCUUUAUGCCCUGGGCUACACACGUGUUACAAUGGUCGUGACAAUGGGUUGCCAACCCGCGAGGGGGAGCUAAUCUCAAAAAUACGGCCUCAGUUCAGAUUGAAGUCUGCAAUUCGACUUCAUGAAGCUGGAAUCGCUAGUAAUGGCAGAUCAGCACGCUGCCGUGAAUACGUUCCCGGGCCUUGUACACACCGCCCGUCAAGCGAUGAGAGCCGGGAGUACCCGAAGUCCUAUGUAGAUAGGCCGAAGGUAAAACCGGUGAUUGGCGCU